GUUGAAAGUGGAGGGGAGUCAGGACCUGCGCCAGGGGACCGGGGUACGGUGCUGAGGCGUACAACAUGCGCGUGCCUGCACACCGGUUUUCGGCUUCCCUAGUGAUGGGCCCGAUCUCUCGGGACGAAGGCUGCUGUGAGUGUCAUUCUUCAUAAGAAUAACGGUAUGCUUCAUUAGCGCCUAAUCACCCCUUAGGGACGAGGAACUAACUUCAGAGUCAAAUGAGCUUUACUACUUUUCCAUAGUAGAAUUUAGUCGAUAGUGAAUUAGUAUAUCCAUGGGAUGAACCAUUGGUCUUUUUUUGUAUGGAACACCCGUUACAUGGAACUCGCAUCUGGAUCCAACGCACGUGCGCGUAAAUCACGAUGAAUGCACUUAUUAUCAGUGGUCCACUACGAAAUGCUAAAAGUAGCGAAACUGGCGUAUAGAGAAUAAAUAGUACCUAUUUUGUAUUGUAUUCAAUGCUGUGUGCUACCUGUGAAUCUGAGGGUAAAUUAGAAUAGGGAACACAAACGACUGAUACCUGAGCCAAAGCGACACAUUCCAGCUGCUUGUAAGCUUCGACCAUUUGUGCCUGAAUUCUUUGAAAUAACACAAGACGGAAAUAAAAUAAUUCCAGAGAAGAUGAUGGAAAUUUGCAAAAAAAGAUUUUUUUAAUG